rnacentral:tRNA from 1 species
GGGCGAUUAGCUCAGCGGGAGAGCACUACCUUGACACGGUAGGGGUCACUGGUUCGAUCCCAGUAUCGCCCACCG